rnacentral:rRNA from 1 species
UACGGGGGGGGUAAGCGUUGUUCGGAAUUACUGGGCGUAAAGCGCGCGUAGACGGUUUUGUAAGUCAGAUGUGAAAUCCCUGGGCUCAACCUGGGAACUGCAUUUGAGACUGCAUGGCUAGAGUAUGGAAGAGGGAAGUGGAAUUUCCGGUGUAGCGGUGAAAUGCGUAGAUAUCGGAAGGAACACCAGUGGCGAAAGCGACUUCCUGGUCCAAUACUGACGUUCAUGUGCGAAAGCGUGGGGAGCAAACAGG